GGUUCUGAAGUGGAGCUCCUUUUCACUCCAAUGAAAGGUUCAUCUGAAGGGUGGCACAGCUGCUUGUUCAUGGUUCCCACUAUCCUAUCUCAUCAUCAGGAAAAAAAAAAGGAGUGUUUCAUGUGUGUGAUAUUUGAGGCUUUUGAGAUAGGCUUGUGGUUUGCAUGACCAAGGAGCUGCAUCAUCCCCUUGCUGACCACUCUUUGGAUUGAAGGGAGCUCUGCAUCUUGAUCCC
rfam:Oryza brachyantha chromosome 1, whole genome shotgun sequence.